AGAGUUUGAUCCUGGCUCAGGACGAACGCUGGCGGCGUGCUUAACACAUGCAAGUCGAACGGAAAGGCCCUUUCGGGGGUACUCGAGUGGCGAACGGGUGAGUAACACGUGGGUGAUCUGCCCUGCACUUCGGGAUAAGCCUGGGAAACUGGGUCUAAUACCGGAUAUACCUCAUGGAUCGCAUGGUUUGUGGGGGAAAGCUUUUGCGGUGUGGGAUGGGCCCGCGGCCUAUCAGCUUGUUGGUGAGGUUAUGGCUUACCAAGGCGACGACGGGUAGCCGGCCUGAGAGGGUGACCGGCCACACUGGGACUGAGAUACGGCCCAGACUCCUACGGGAGGCAGCAGUGGGGAAUAUUGCAUAAUGGGCGCAAGCCUGAUGCAGCGACGCCGCGUGAGGGAUGACGGCCUUCGGGUUGUAAACCUCUUUCAGCAGGGACGAAGCGAAAGUGACGGUACCUGUAGAAGAAGGACCGGCCAACUACGUGCCAGCAGCCGCGGUAAUACGUAGGGUCCGAGCGUUGUCCGGAAUUACUGGGCGUAAAGAGCUCGUAGGUGGUUUGUCGCGUUGUUCGUGAAAACUCACAGCUCAACUGUGGGCGUGCGGGCGAUACGGGCAGACUUGAGUACUGCAGGGGAGACUGGAAUUCCUGGUGUAGCGGUGGAAUGCGCAGAUAUCAGGAGGAACACCGGUGGCGAAGGCGGGUCUCUGGGCAGUAACUGACGCUGAGGAGCGAAAGCGUGGGGAGCGAACAGGAUUAGAUACCCUGGUAGUCCACGCCGUAAACGGUGGGUACUAGGUGUGGGUUUCCUUCCUUGGGAUCCGUGCCGUAGCUAACGCAUUAAGUACCCCGCCUGGGGAGUACGGCCGCAAGGCUAAAACUCAAAGGAAUUGACGGG
rnacentral:rRNA from 1 species